rnacentral:lncRNA from 1 species
AGCAGCCAGAGGCGGAUGCAGCCAUGGAGGAGUUGUCCAAAGGCUGGAACGAAUGAAUGAUGCUGCGUGAGCAUGAUCCUUGGACGCAUGCGGCGGCCGGACCGGCCGGGAAAUAAUUGGGGAGAUUUGUUUCGGUUGCCGGGAUCUGGUGACCGAUACAGCCACCCAUGCAUGCCGCUCGCUCGGCUCCAAGUACCAAGCGGUACCGCACCAGUUUUAAUUAGGCUGAGGUCUGCCUGCCUGCUCCGGUGAAAAUCUCCUCCUGCCAGAACCCCCUCAUGCUUGCUGGUACCACUACUACCACGAGUAGUCACUCGCCUCUGCAGCAGGUUCUAUGCAACAAACACAAAGAUCUAAAGAUGAGAGGGAACAUUUUGCCCAGCAGGGCAACAGAGAUGCUAGUGCAUGAUACCACCUGCCUGGACCUGGCUCUCCCGUGCCCUCUUCCAUACGGUUUCGCGCCAAGGCAUGGCCGUUCCUUCUCGCUGAUAGCCGCGGCACUUUCAGAUGACCCUUGUGGAGUAAAUGUAAAUGAGGGUUGCUGACAACGUACCAUCAGGCGAAGAGCUGUGAAGAUGUGAUGGAUCUGCUCGCCGUGAUGUGAGCCUGGCAGCCCGGCACCAUUGCGAGACAAAGCAGGCAGCUGGACAGCAGGUAGCAAGGUAAGAAAACUCAAUUUGGUAAUCAAACCAUUUGAAAGGAACAACUUUUACAAAAGAAUAACUUUACAACAGGAAAAUCUGGUAAUCAACCAUUCGGUUACAGAUGUCCAUUCGGAGCUCCAAACUUUGAAAAGGAGACUGCAGUUAAAGAAAGGUUUACUAUUUACAGUUUGCGCGAAGCCUUUACAAGUUUUAAGGUCAC